ensembl:lncRNA
UUGCUCUCUCUCUUCUGGACUCCGAUCAGGGAAGAGUUUCUCCAGGUACCUCUCCUCUGCAGUAGUGAUCUCGUUUUCACCAAUCACUGUCCCCCACCACAAGAGGCCAAGUCUCCAAUCCCCUCCUCUAAACCCGUUGCACUUCAGAACAUCUUUCAUAUCAUCUGUAGUCGUGACGUGAGAUACUCUUGAACAAUGGAACGCUACAGGUCGAGGGUAAUGUGGAACUACGGCAUAGCCCCCAGUUAUUUCAUUUGGUUCAGCCACAUAUUUAUCAGUGUACUGGUUGCGGUGUAUCCUCUUCAGAUCAUCUAUAACCAUAUGUUCCCCACUAAUGUAUUUUUCUGCAGUCCAUCGCUGUUGGAUUGGGUUCUGUUCAGACAAGGAUUCAAUAUUUGUGGGUGUUUGUUUUGAAUUUCCAUUUUUCUUAUUCAAUUACUUAUAAAGAUUAAUUCACUGUGUAAUAAAUACUAAAUUCAUACCUCGUUUUGAGGGUGAGUGGCCAUCCUUUAGAAUUCUACUGGUGCGACGGUUGGAAUGUCUCAGUCUU